CUUCAGUGCACUCAGCCAUCUUCGGAAGGUUAAAUAUACGCCAAAAGAAAUUUUCGAGGAAUUCUCUUUUUUCCCCCUGGUCUUCCCAUACUGUCCCAAAACCUAACAAAACCCCCACGCCGCAAUCAAAUAAAUAAAUAAAAACACGCCGCCACCAUCUCCGGCGAUGUCGCGCUUCGGGCGCUCCGGGCAGCCGGAGAACCGCGAAUCUUUCUCCCUCCUCGUCCUCAACGUCUCCUUCCGCACUACGGCUGACGACCUCUUCCCGCUCUUCGAUCGCUACGGCAAGGUCUUAGACAUCUACAUCCCGCGCGACCACAGGACUGGGGAUCCGCGAGGGUUCGCGUUCGUGAGGUACAAUUACGAGGAUGAGGCGCAGGAUGCCAUUGACGGGCUUGAUGGGAUGAGGUUUGAUGGGCGUGCGCUCAUGGUGCAGUUUGCCAAAUACGGACCCAAUGCUGAAAAGAUUCAUAGGGGUAGAAUUACAGAAGAAAAUCCAAAGCCAAGGGGUCGUUGCAGAAGCCGCAGUCCAAGACAGAGCCAUUUGUGAAGGUAUCGAGAGGAUUAUUGGGAUAGAGACUAUAGAAGGCGAAGCCAGAGCAGAAGUAGGGAGCGAUAUGAACAGGCCGGGUACAGAGAUGGUGAUCAUCGUCGCCAUAGGACUCACAGUAUUAGUCCUGAUUAUGACAGGAAACGUAACAGACACAGUGGCUCUCCUGUACUUAAAAGCCCCAGUCAUAGCAGAAGUCGUUCUCCUCGUAGGGCACCUCAUGAAGGAAUACCUAGCAAGCCCAGAGAUGGCCGCGCUGCAUGUUCUGGAAGCCCUUGACCCUGAGCUGUGGCUGAAUAUCACACAGCUUCUCCUGGACAGCUUGAGGCAUCUAAGCAGUUCUCAUCAUUUGUAUUUUCUUACUAAGAUGGCCUUUGUUUUAGUCCAGGUUGAGUAGACUGAGCUUUGGCAAAAACAACAAUGUCUGCUUGGUUACUGAAUCUACAUGGUGACAAUGAUGGAAUAUUGUGUGGCACAGCAUUCAACUUCCAGUACUGCGUUUUGUAAACAUCUAAGCCUCAUUUGGGAACUAUAUGCAUGAUGGAUAUUGUCAUUUCUUACUA